rnacentral:rRNA from 1 species
UCCUACGGGACGCAGCAGUGGGGGAUAUUGGACAAUGGGGGAAACCCUGAUCCAGCGAUGCCGCGUGGGUGAAGAAGGUCUUCGGAUCGUAAAACCCUGUUGUUAGAGAAGAAAGUGCGUGAGAGUAACUGUUCACGUUUCGACGGUAUCUAACCAGAAAGCCACGGCUAACUACGUGCCAGCAGCCGCGGUAAUACGUAGGUGGCAAGCGUUAUCCGGAUUUAUUGGGCGUAAAGGGAACGCAGGCGGUCUUUUAAGUCUGAUGUGAAAGCCUUCGGCUUAACCGGAGUAGUGCAUUGGAAACU